rnacentral:rRNA from 1 species
UACGAAGGGGGCUAGCGUUGUUCGGAAUUACUGGGCGUAAAGCGCGUGUAGGCGGUUGUCCAAGUUGGAUGUGAAAGCCUUGAGCUUAACUCAAGAAAUGCAUUCAGGACUGGAUGACUAGAGGACCGGAGAGGAUAGUGGAAUUCCCAGUGUAGUGGUGAAAUACGUAGAGAUUGGGAAGAACACCAGUGGCGAAGGCGGCUAUCUGGACGGUUUCUGACGCUAAGACGCGAAAGCGUGGGGAGCAAACAGG